UACGUAGGUGGCAAGCGUUGUCCGGAUUUAUUGGGUUUAAAGGGUGCGUAGGCGGUUUAAUAAGUCAGUGGUGAAAUACGGCAGCUCAACUGUCGAGGUGCCAUUGAUACUGUUGGACUUGAGUACAGACGAGGUAGGCGGAAUUGACGGUGUAGCGGUGAAAUGCUUAGAUAUCGUCAAGAACACCGAUAGCGAAGGCAGCUUACCAGGCUGUAACUGACGCUGAGGCACGAAAGUGUGGGGAUCAAACAGG
rnacentral:rRNA from 1 species